rnacentral:rRNA from 1 species
AUCAUUAAAACUUGGGGAUGAGAUCCUUCCAAUGGUAGCGUCGGAUCACUAGGCCGGCUUACGCUCCUGCUCGACUUGUAGGUCUUGCAGUCAGCUCCCUUCUUCCUUUACACUCUCCGGCUGAUUUCCGUCCAGCCUGAGGGACCUUUGCAGCCUCCGUGGGUUUUUGACUGGGGCGGUCACCUCCUAAAAGGUAACGGAGGUGUGCAAGGGUUCCCUCAGGCUGGACGGAAAUCAGCCUGAGAGUGUAAAGGCAGAAGGGAGCUUGACUGCAAGACCUACAAGUCGAGCAGGGGCGAAAGCGGCCCUUAGUGAUCCGACGCUUCCAUGUGGAAGGGCCAUCGCUCAACGGAUAAAAGUUA